rnacentral:lncRNA from 1 species
UAAUCAUUUUUUUUUUUUUUGCAGCUUGUUGGUUCCAUUAAAAGGAUACUCUACGCAGCAGAUGGAGAAGACGUUGGAGCAGCAGCAGAAACACAGAACUUAAGCCCUAUUGAUGAAGGAUCAGAAGAGAGAAGGAGCAGUGGAAUAGAGUCGCAGAAGAGGAAACUCAUAGCGAACCUCGACGUGGAUGCUGCAGCGAUUACAACUCUCUCUCCAAGGCAACGCCUCUCUGAUUCUUCUGAUGUCAAAUGCACUGGAUCAUCUCCUCUUUUAACAUGCUGAAUCAGAAAGAAAAAAAACAAAAACGAUGAAUGUCUCCGAGAAUUGGUUCUAUGUUUGAAAAAUCCCCAUCACUUGUUAUAUAGACCUAUUAUUAUUACCCUCUUACAAAUAUCAUUUGUGUGAUGUUUUGUGAUACUUUUGUUAUAAUAUGUUUUGGUUCCUAGCUACAGUUUGAUACAUCCUAUCGAUUAAUAACUGGUGCAUGAUGAUUCCGACAUUAGAGCCGUCAUACUAAUAUGUGAUAAUCGUAGAAGCCAAAAGGUGUUCCUAGGACUAAGGCUAAACCAAUCAAUCUUUGGAAAAUUAAAGAAAAAAAAAAGACGUAUGUAAGAACCGGACGUUUCGCCAAUCUAACGAUAAUUAAUCUACUCUUUUGAAAACUUUCUUUCAUUAAUUUAUUUUCCUGUUUCUUACAAGUUAUUUUUUUUCCCUAAGCCAUCUUAGAAUUGAACUCUUACCUCGGUUAUGAACCAAAAGGCCAUGCAGGUAUGUAUGUUUAUUCUGUAUAUAUGUUUUUUUGAGUAGUAUAUAGAAUGUAAUUUUUUUUAGUUAUAAAUAAUUUUAAAGGAAAUGGACAACAAGAAAAGACAAGAGGAUGGAUCAAAUGUAGUGGUGGUUGAGACAACGGAGCAACGUUCUUCAGCGGGCAAAGGCCCAGAGCAGAGGAAAAUAGAGGUGGUUCACCAGUCUCACCCCAAAACUAGUGGCGGCGUUCUUGUCGGAGCCGCCGCCGCAGUUGAAUCCACCCUUGAAUCUGCC